rnacentral:lncRNA from 1 species
CCAACGAGCUCUUGAAUGCUUUAUUGCACCAUUGGAGCUAGUUGGAAUUGGGCCACAUUUGGUUGUAUAAUCCAUCAUAAAAAUAUAGAACAAUAAUAUAUAUGAAAAGAUUCAAGAAAUGACAUACUCUAAUUAUUUUGUGUUUAGCUAACUAGCAAAAAUCAAUCCAUAUCCACAUCUAGGAUUGAAAUAAGCCAAGCUUCAUCAGCAACUCGGAC